GGCGAGGCGGUAGCGCUAUCUUGGACAGGCGGCCGCCUCGCCAAGAUAGCGCUGCGGGAAACCCUGACGUCUAUGGUGACAAGGACCUCGCUGCAGCAAACAGAAAGGGGCGGGGACGGACCACUGUCAGUCCCAUACCUCAUUUGGUAAUGGGACUAUUGCACUCCGGAAAUAAAGGGGUCGCUGUUUUCAUAAUCACUAGUACCUUAAGAAGCGGAGUAGAGAGUUCAACUGAAAGAAAUUUGAGAGGUUCUUCCACUGAUGUUCGGCACAUUAUCCCCAAUGCAAAACCCACAAAGUCAGCAAAAGGUAUUUUUACCUUCUUAAAACUUUUUUUCAUAUAGUAAAUCAUUCUUUAGAUUAGGUUGAAAAUAUAAUUAACAGCUGUAGACAAGUGAAAUUCGUAAUUCGUACAGGGAAGGCUAAUUUUAGCAUGUAGCAUAAUUAUUUCCCUGCAGGGCACCAUUAGAUGAAAAUAGAAACGUAGAUAACGUGUAUAUUUGAGAAAUGUAUUUUAUAUUCAAACUUUGGUUGUUAUUUGAAUCAUACAGAUCCACGUAUCUAUUUGCAACAUAUUGCUGUCCCCUUUGCUCAUACAGUGCGGAUGAGUCGUGCAAGGUACAGAACCAUAUAGCAAAAGCUGCUAUGGCUCAACAUAACGGUGCAAAGGAUAUCGCCAAUCUUACAGAUGCCUUUGAAUGGACUUGAAGCUGUUCUCCAGGAGGUGGUACUAGCACAGGAAGACAAAGCUUACCUCACCCUGGCAUGCCAAGACACACCCUGGCAUGCCAUGCAAGUGCUUUGAAGCCAUUGUGUCUGACCCAGUUUCCGGGAAGAAGACUCAAUUUGCUUGGCUGGAUGGUGAGAUCAACUGGGGUAAAUUUUCAGAGUCAUUCAAGGCAGAAAAUCGGAUUCAUUUUGUGGUUGAAACGUGUUCUUCCUGCAACCAGCAAUAUAAAGACUGUGUGAGCUUCACCGGAAAUGGAAGAUGAGGAGAGUACACUCGUUGCUACUCUGAUGGCAUACCUGGACACUGCCCUGAAUGUCAAUACUGUAUGCAAGGAGAAUAUUAGUUGUUUUCCAGUCUUUUACACAUUUCAGUUGUCAUAUAUUGUUGUUCGUUUUCUUUGUGACAUGCCAUUAUAAAUAAUUUCUGCUAAAGCACACUUGCCUUUUCACUUGUGCAGUCAUUCUUUUUCAUAAUGUGUUCUUUCAAUAUUAUGUUGUUACAUUAUUACCAUUAUUUGGGUUUCAUAGAAAUGUUGUUGUUUCCAGACAAAUUUACAUUGUGGUUGUAAUAUCUUGACGAGAGUAGAACCAAUAAAGUUGUUGUAAAUAUAUUGUAACAGCGUUGUUUAACAAUUGGAUAACCUUGUUUUAAAAAUUUGAAAUACAAGCAAAGUUAAUAACUUUAAAUACAACGUUUCUUAUUCUUUUUGAACAAUGACUGGAAUCAAUACACAUUUUCUUUACAAACCUGA